GAUGAACGCUCGCUACAGGCUUAACACAUGCAAGUCGCGGGGCAGCAUGGGGGUUGCUUGCAAUCCCCGAUGGCGACCGGCGCACGGGUGAGUAACGCGUAUCCAACCUGCCCUUCACCACGGGAUAACCCGGCGAAAGUCGGACUAAUACCGUAUGUUGUCCAUUGACGGCCUCCGAUUUGGACGAAAGGCUUGGCGGUGAGGGAUGGGGAUGCGUCCGAUUAGCCAGACGGCGGGGUAACGGCCCACCGUGGCUACGAUCGGUAGGGGUUCUGAGAGGAAGGUCCCCCACACUGGAACUGAGACACGGUCCAGACUCCUACGGGAGGCAGCAGUGAGGAAUAUUGGUCAAUGGGCGUAAGCCUGAACCAGCCAAGUAGCGUGCAGGAGGACGGCCCUAUGGGUUGUAAACUGCUUUUAUGCGGGGAUAAAGUGGCCCACGUGUGGGCUUUUGCAGGUACCGCAUGAAUAAGGACCGGCUAAUUCCGUG
rnacentral:rRNA from 1 species